rnacentral:rRNA from 1 species
GACGAACGCUGGCGGCGUGCUUAACACAUGCAAGUCGAACGGUGAAGCGCCUUCCUUUUUGGUGGGUGUGGAUGAGUGGCGAACGGGUGAGUAACACGUGAGUAACCUGCCCCCUUCUUCUGGAUAACCGCAUGAAAGUGUGGCUAAUACGGGAUAUUCUGGGUCUGUCGCAUGAUGGGUCUGGGAAAGAUAUUGUUUUGGUGGGGGAUGGGCUCGCGGCCUAUCAGCUUGUUGGUGGGGUGAUGGCCUACCAAGGCGGUGACGGGUAGCCGGCCUGAGAGGGUGGACGGUCACACUGGGACUGAGACACGGCCCAGACUCCUACGGGAGGCAGCAGUGGGGAAUAUUGCACAAUGGGCGCAAGCCUGAUGCAGCGACGCCGCGUGAGGGAUGGAGGCCUUCGGGUUGUGAACCUCUUUCGCCAGUGAAGCAGGCCUGCCUCGUUUGUGGGUGGGUUGACGGUAGCUGGAUAAGAAGCGCCGGCUAACUACGUG